AGCAGCCGCGGUAAUUCCAGCUCCAAUAGCGUAUAUUAAAGUUGCUGCAGUUAAAAAGCUCGUAGUUGAAUUUCGGGACUAAUAUGUCGGUCGUGCCUCGGUACGUACUGGUUUAUUGGUUUCUCCUUUCUGAAGAACCAUGAUGUCAUUUAUUUGGUGUCGUGGGGAAUCAGGGCUGUUACUUUGAAAAAAUUAGAGUGUUUAAAGCAGGCUCACGCUUGAAUACAUUAGCAUGGAAUAAUGAAAUAGGACGUUUGAUUCUAUUUUGUUGGUUUCUAGGAUCGACGUAAUGAUUAAUAGGGAUAGUUGGGGGCAUUAGUAUUCAAUUGUCAGAGGUGAAAUUCUUGGAUUUAUUGAAGACUAACUACUGCGAAAGCAUUUGCCAAGGAUGUUUUCAUUAAUCAAGAACGAAAGUUAGGGGAUCGAAGACGAUCAGAUACCGUCGUAGUCUUAACCAUAAACUAUGCCGACUAGGGAUCGGAU
rnacentral:rRNA from 1 species